rnacentral:rRNA from 1 species
GAUGAACGCUGGCGGCGUGCCUAACACAUGCAAGUCGAACGGAGAUUACGGACGGAAGUUUUCGGAUGGAAGCCUGUAAUUCUUAGUGGCGGACGGGUGAGUAACGCGUGGGCAACCUGCCCUAUACAGGGGGAUAGCAGCUGGAAACGGCUGGUAAGACCGCAUAAGUCGGUUAAAUCGCAUGAUUUGAUCGGGAAAUGAGCAAUCAGGUAUAGGAUGGGCCCGCGUCCGAUUAGCCAGUUGGCAGGGUAAAAGCCUACCAAAGCGACGAUCGGUAGCCGGACUGAGAGGUCGGACGGCCACAUUGGGUCUGAGACACGGCCCAAACUCCUACGGGAGGCAGCAGUGGGGGAUAUUGCACAAUGGAGGAAACUCUGAUGCAGCGACGCCGCGUGAGUGAAGAAGUAUUUCGGUAUGUAAAGCUCUAUCAGCAGGGAAGAUGAUGACGGUACCUGACUAAGAAGCCCCGGCUAACUACGUG